rnacentral:tRNA from 1 species
CGGCGACCUCGAGGACGGGCUCGCCCGCGUCGCGUGGCCGGCGACGGUCGACGGCGCCGCGCUCGUCGUCGAGCGGAUCGUGCUGCCGCCGGCCGCCGA